GACGGAGGGGGCAAGCGUUGUUCGGAAUUAUUGGGCGUAAAGGGCGCGUAGGCGGAUUGGCAAGUCUGACGUGAAAUCUCCACCACUCAACGGGGAGAGGUCGUUGGAUACUACCGAUCUGGAGUUUGGUAGAGGGUCGUGGAAUUCCAGGUGUAGCGGUGGAAUGCGUAGAUAUCUGGAAGAACACCGGUGGCGAAGGCGGCGACCUGGGCCAAAACUGACGCUGAUGCGCGAAAGCUAGGGGAGCAAACGGG
rnacentral:rRNA from 1 species